rnacentral:rRNA from 1 species
GACGAACGCUGGCGGCGUGCUUAACACAUGCAAGUCGAACGGUGAACCGGGCUUCGGCCCGGGGAUCAGUGGCGAACGGGUGCGUAACACGUGGGCAACCUGCCCCAGACACUGGGAUAACUCCGGGAAACCGGGGCUAAUACCGGAUACUCCGGUCGAACCUCAUGGUUCGAUCGGGAAAGCUCCGACGGUCUGGGAUGGGCCCGCGGCCUAUCAGCUUGUUGGCGAGGUAACGGCUCACCAAGGCGACGACGGGUAGCUGGUCUGAGAGGACGACCAGCCACACUGGAACUGAGAUACGGUCCAGACUCCUACGGGAGGCAGCAGUGGGGAAUCUUGCACAAUGGGCGAAAGCCUGAUGCAGCGACGCCGCGUGGGGGACGAAUGCCUUCGGGUUGUAAACCCCUUUCGGCAGGGAAGAAGCGCAAGUGACGGUACCUGCAGAAGAAGUCCCGGCUAACUACGUGCCAGCCGCCGCCGUAACAC